rnacentral:rRNA from 1 species
CUUUCUUAACGGAAAGCCGCAGUGAAUAGGCCCAAGCGACUGUUUAGCAAAAACACAGGUCUCUGCGAAGCCGUAAGGCGAAGUAUAGGGGCUGACACCUGCCCGGUGCUGGAAGGUUAAGGAGAGGGGUUAGCGUAAGCGAAGCUCUGAACUGAAGCCCCAGUAAACGGCGGCCGUAACUAUAACGGUCCUAAGGUAGCGAAAUUCCUUGUCGGGUAAGUUCCGACCCGCACGAAAGGUGUAACGAUUUGGGCACUGUCUCAACCAGAGACUCGGUGAAAUUAUAGUACCUGUGAAGAUGCAGGUUACCCGCGACAGGACGGAAAGACCCCGUGGAGCUUUACUGUAGCCUGAUAUUGAAUUUUGGUACAGUUUGUACAGGAUAGGCGGGAGCCAUUGAAACCGGAGCGCUAGCUUCGGUGGAGGCGCUGGUGGGAUACCGCCCUGACUGUAUUGAAAUUCUAACCUACGGGUCUUAUCGACCCGGGAGACAGUGUCAGGUGGGCAGUUUGACUGGGGCGGUCGCCUCCUAAAGUGUAACGGAGGCGCCCAAAGGUUCCCUCAGAAUGGUUGGAAAUCAUUCGUAGAGUGCAAAGGCAUAAGGGAGCUUGACUGCGAGACCUACAAGUCGAGCAGGGACGAAAGUCGGGCUUAGUGAUCCGGUGGUUCCGCAUGGAAGGGCCAUCGCUCAACGGAUAAAAGCUACCCCGGGGAUAACAGGCUUAUCUCCCCCAAGAGUCCACAUCGACGGGGAGGUUUGGCACCUCGAUGUCGGCUCAUCGCAUCCUGGGGCUGUAGUCGGUCCCAAGGGUUGGGCUGUUCGCCCAUUAAAGCGGUACGCGAGCUGGGUUCAGAACGUCGUGAGACAGUUCGGUCCCUAUCCGUCGUGGGCGUAGGAAAUUUGAGAGGAGCUGUCCUUAGUACGAGAGGACCGGGAUGGACGCACCGCUGGUGUACCAGUUGUUCUGCCAAGGGCAUAGCUGGGUAGCUAUGUGCGGAAGGGAUAAGUGCUGAAAGCAUCUAAGCAUGAAGCCCCCCUCAAGAUGAGAUUUCCCAUAGCGUAAGCUAGUAAGAUCCCUGAAAGAUGAUCAGGUUGAUAGGUUCGAGGUGGAAGCAUGGUGACAUGUGGAGCUGACGAAUACUAAUAGAUCGAGGACUUAACCAU